rnacentral:rRNA from 1 species
UACGUAGGGUGCGAGCGUUAAUCGGAAUUACUGGGCGUAAAGCGUGCGCAGGCGGUUUUGUAAGCCAGAUGUGAAAUCCCCGGGCUUAACCUGGGAAUGGCAUUUGGGACUGCAAGGCUGGAGUGCGGCAGAGGAGACUGGAAUUCCUGGUGUAGCAGUGAAAUGCGUAGAUAUCAGGAGGAAUACCGAUGGCGAAGACAGGUCUCUGGGCUGACACUGACGCUCAUGCACGAAAGCGUGGGGAGCAAACAGG